CGCUUUCGUUUCUACUCAAGAAU
rnacentral:piRNA from 1 species